GUUUUGGAAAGGGAAAACCCAUUAAUACCAAUUCAUGUUGCAUUAUGAGCAGAGCAGACAUCAAUCAUGUGUACAUCUUAUUUUAAUGGGGUGCAGAGUGCGGCUAUGAAUAUCAACAUAUUAUUGAGUAAUAAGUAACUAGAGACAUAAUUAAUGUGUGACUUAUUUAAGUGACUGUUAAUUGUAUCGGAAGUCUCCAAAAAAACACAAGACAUCUCUGCGCAAAUGAAGACAAGCUAAUCUUUCAAAGUUCUGAAAUGUGUUUUCGUUUCAGGCAUCAGGUCUUAAAGUUCUUCUGCAGAACGUCCCUGAAACUGGAGAUGACAUCUGAGAGCCAGAAGUAUCUUGGCAGCUGCUGGCCACUUGUGUUUCUAAGCUGUUAAAAUGGUCACAGAAUGUACGACAAGACUUGGGGGAUAUUUAAGGAGGGGAUUGGUUACGUUUGCAACCCCCAACUUAUGUUUCUGACCCUCUUCAUACCACUACCCUAAAUUCGGCAUACAAUGGCUGUGUAAAUUACAACAUGUUGCAGGAACAUUGUGAAAGCAGCAAACCUCCUUGUACUCCUGGAUCUGGCUCUGCUCAAACAUGGAGAACACGUUGGAGCUGCCGCCCUCUGCCUGCUGCCUCCUCUUGGCUUUCUUGGGUGCCUAAAGACAAACACAUAUACAUAGGUGGUGAUAUGCAUGAAGAAUGCGAAUCGCUCAAAACAAAAGAAGUAUGUGAAAGUGAAAGUGGAGAUUUAUAGUAAAAAAGGACUUAAACAUUCAUCAGUUUCUCACCCACACCUAUCAUAUCGCUUCUGAAGAC